GAGGACGAGAAAGAUGUUACAAUAGAAAAACAAGUAGAGGUCGAGGCUGUUUCAGUGAAAGAAGAAGAGAAAGACGUUUCAGUGAAAGAAGAGGAAGACUCGUUCAGAGUGAAAAAGGAGGAUGAAGAGGGGGAUGUUACAAUACAAAAGCAAGUAGAGGGUGAGUCUGUUACAGUGAAAGAAGAAGAGAAAGACGUUUCAGUGAAAGAAGAGGAAGACUCGUUCAGAGUGAAAAAGGAGGAUGAAGAGGGGGAUGUUACAAUACAAAAGCAAGUAGAGGGUGAGUCUGUUACAGUGAAAGAAGAAGAGAAAGACGUUUCAGUGAAAGAAGAGGAAGAUACGUUCAGAGUGAAAGAGGAAGAGGAUGUUACAGUAAAAGAAGAGGAGGCAGAGAAAGAGGAGGAUGCAGUUUUUGGAGUGAAAGAGGGGGAGGGGGAGAUGACUGUUACAUCGAAAAAAGAGGAGGAGGAGGAAGAGAAGGAAACUGGAUAUCUGGGCCCGGUUUCCCAAAGUCAUCUUAAGGCGUCCAAUGGUUCUAACGAUGAACUUAACCGUGAAAUGGUUUUGAGAAACCGUUCCCUGAUUAACACUAGAGAAAGACAUGACAAUCGUGGAUCCUCUGGGGAGCCUCAACAACAUCAUGAAGCUGACGAGGCAGAGGAGAGUCUCUCCACAUCAGAACAACCCAAGAAACACCAGCGGAAACCCACAGGGAAGAAGUCUCACCGCUGCUCUGUCUGUGGGAAGAGUUACUCAAGAUCAGAUUCACUGAAGGCACACCAGAGAAUUCACACAGGGAAGAAGUCUCACCACUGCUCUGACUGUGGGAAGACUUACUCAAGAUCAGAUUCACUAAAAGUACACCAGAAAAAACACAUUGGAGAGAAACCUCACAGCUGCUCUAAUUGUGGGAAGAGUUGGACCUCUUUAGCAACCCUAAAAAUACAUCAGAGAAUCCAUAGAAGAGAAAAACCUUAUAGUUGCUCUGAUUGUGGGAAGUGUUUUGUUUUGUCAGGACAUUUAAAAUCACACCAGAGAACACACACAGGACAGAAACCUUAUAGUUGUCAGCUAUGUGGGGGGAGUUUUAGGCACUUAAGCAGCCUGAUAGUACACCAGAGAAUACACACAGGAGAGAAACCUUACCAAUGCUCUGACUGCGGGAAGAGUUUUGUUUCGUCAGGACUUUUAAAAUCACACCAGAGAACACAUACAGGAGAGAAACCUCAUAGCUGUGAUCAAUGUGACAAGAGAUACUCUGAUAAAAGAUCUCUGGUUAAACAUCAGACAAUUCAUACAUGAAGGAGUUGUUCAAUGUGAGAAGAGUUUUACUGAAUCUAGGGAGCUGACUUUGCACCAGAGAAAACACAGAAGGAAAUAAACUUUACCACUGACUGUGCUCAAUGUGACAAGAGAUACGUUUAUAUCAAUGAAAAAAAAAAAUGUCACAAUGCAAUGGGAGUAGGAUAAUGAUGUCAUAAUGAAGAACCCCUAAAUGUUUGCCCUGUUCUAUUGAUUUCAGCUGUGGAUUGAAAUGAAAGAUUAACUAUUUAUGUGCUAUUAACCAAAAAAGUGACUGAAAAAAAGUGUUGCGUUAUGAAAAGAAAACUACAAAAAAAUUUUUUAGUUUUCUACGUUGUAGUUGAAAAUAUUUAGUUUUUUUUAAUGACUCGAAAACAUCUUAAUUUCAACAUACUUGCAGCCUAUACACAUGAAAGCAGUAUAAUAAAUUGGUCUAUAAUCAAUUUGAUUAACAAUCCUACAUCACUCCAGUAUUUCUUGACGACAUUCAAAUGCUAAUUGUCUUUAUUCCACUACUGACGACUCAUGACUCAAAUCACCUCAUAUUUCAAACAUUCGGCCUGACAAAAGAUACAUGAUUUAUUAUUCCAUGCCUCACCAUUAAGUGAAGUAUUGCCAAUACAUAUUAACAAAGGGGUGUACAUUUGGUUUUUAUAUUUCAUAAUAUUAGCAUUUUUGUAACACUUAAUUGCGUAAAUAAUUAUGAUUAAUAACUGCAUUUUUAUUGGUACAAUUAUAUUGUUUACAAACAAUGUAGUAAAACUAGCUUAUAUUUCUGGUUGGAUAUUACAUCAUAUUCUUACUAUUUUAAUCAAUGUCUUUUCCUUAGAAUGAUCAUUAGUCUCAGUUUCAUUGUUAUUCCUUUUCAGCUUUUAUUGUUUUUCUUUAGUAUGUAUCCUUAUGACUGUAGUAAAUAUUACAGUUAUUGUUCAUUAGUCUUUUCAGCUUUUAUUGUCAUUUUUUUUGUUUGUUGUGUUGGAAAUAUUUAUCUUUUUAUUGUCAUCGUUUUUAUUCAUUUUUUUCCUCUGAAGCCCCGUUGUGUUGUAUUCCAUGUCUGAAAUGUGCUGUAUAAAUAAAGCUUGAUUUGAUUUGAA